CAUAAAUCGACGCCAUUUUUCAACAGAUUAAGGUUUCUGAGCUCACGAAAUCCUAGUAUUAUUACUUUUAAUGAUAACAAUAGGAAUAAGAAGAGCAGGAUUUCUAUAUUGAGGAUUUACAUGUAUGAGACAGAGGACUGUUUGACUAGAUUUUACUUUAAAAAAAACUUUUUAAUUUUAACAAUAGUUCUCCUUAAUUGUUUAAAAUACUUUUUACAUAUUUUUCAUUUUAACAUUAUUUUUAUGACUUUGUAUUUAUUCAUCAUUUAAUAAACUUUUAUUUCUAAA